rnacentral:lncRNA from 1 species
AAUCAGCAGUUUGAGGCUGCAGUUCAUCGCGCCGCAGGGAGAGGGCAGCCUGGGCGCAGACACCCCCAACCAGUGUGGAAGCUGCUGGUGAGCGCGUCCCUGGAAACCAGCUCUGCCAGAGGACAAAUGUGUACCACCUGAGUCAGAGCACCUGGAGGCGGGAAGAGACACCUUGCGUCCGACACUCGGGACCUCCAGACACAAGUGGACAACAGAAAGGAAGGGAGAGAAGUGAUAAGACACAAGUCAACCCCCCAGACAACGUGGAGAAGGAAGCCGAGGCGAGAACGGGCCGGGAAGGAAGCCGAGAGGGUCACAGGGAAGGGGACGGAGCGGACAGCACGCCGACCUCACUAACAACUGAAAACUCCGGUUCUCUGGGAAAUUUCAUCCCGAGCGAGCCGCCGGCCUGGUCAGUGCGAGGCAGACAGUAGGGUCCGCAGGAUAAUAAACACCAAGGAUGAAGGAGGAUGGGUGCGGUCCACUGACCGGCUCCGGGAAUGGGACCAGUGACCGUCUUAGAGCCCGCUGGACACUCGGAAAGCUGCGAUCCCAUUCUUCUGUGAGGGUCGCGUGCGGAGCUGUGGACGCGGGAGAGUCCCCCUAGCAGCCCCCUGGCUCUCAGCACGCAAAUCCCCCUGGUCCCCGGAGGAAGAGGCCUGCGUCAAAGGCACAGCUGAUCUGGUUGUGAAGAGCCUGGCCAGAUUCCGAGGCCGCGAGUGAGAGACAGGGAGCAGAGAGAGAGGGACACACAGAAUCCGAAGCAGCUCCAGGCUCCGAGCUGUCAGUACAGAGCCUGACGCGGGGCUGGAACUCACAAGCCGAACGAUCAAGACCGGAGCCAAAGUCGGAAGCUCAACCGACUGGGCCGCCCUGGCGCCCCUGGGGUCCCUCCCUUCUGUACAGGUAAAGAUGGUAUUGAGACAAAGAACACAAAAAGGUUUUUUUGUUUGUUUUGUUUAGUGUAGAUUUUUUAUUUAUAGUUUAUUGUCAAAUCGGUUUCCGUAUAACACCC